AUGUUCUCUGUGGCUCUGCUGCUCCUGCUGGCUGCUGGAUCCUGUGUGAAGUGUGAGCAGAUGACACAUCCAGCCUCUGUGAUUGUGCAGCCAGGUCAGCGUCUGACCAUCACCUGUCAGGUGUCUUAUUCUCUAGGCAGCUGGAGGACAGCUUGGAUUGGACAGCCUGCAGGGAAAGGACUGGAGUGGAUUGGAAUGAAAUAUACUGGAGAUUCAGUUUACAAAGAUUCAUUAAAGAACAAGUUUAGCAUUGACUUAGACACUUCAAGCAAGGCAGUGACUUUAAAUGGACAAAAUAUGCAGCCUGAAGACACUGCUGUGUAUUACUGUGCCAGAGAGUCACAGUCACACAAACCAUCAGUAGAGCUGUACAAAAACUCCUUAGACCCUCAGUACUGGUGA